rnacentral:rRNA from 1 species
GUGGGGAAUAUUGGACAAUGGGCGCAAGCCUGAUCCAGCCAUGCCGCGUGAGUGAUGAAGGCCUUAGGGUUGUAAAGCUCUUUCAGUGGGGACGAUAAUGACGGUACCCACAGAAGAAGCCCCGGCUAACUUCGUGCCAGCAGCCGCGGUAAUACGAAGGGGGCUAGCGUUGUUCGGAUUUACUGGGCGUAAAGCGCACGUAGGCGGAUCGUUAAGUCGGGGGUGAAAUCCUGGAGCUCAACUCCAGAACUGCCUUCGAUACUGGCGAUCUUGAGUCCGGAAGAGGUGAGUGGAACUCCUAGUGUAGAGGUGGAAUUCGUAGAUAUUAGGAAGAACACCAGUGGCGAAGGCGGCUCACUGGUCCGGUAUUGACGCUGAGGUGCGAAAGCGUGGGGAGCAAACAGGAUUAGAAACCCGUGUAGUCC